ACAGAAUUUACUGAAUGCCGUAAGGAGUCGGGCUCCAUUUUUGGUGUCUGAUGUUUGAUUGCUGGUGGUUUAACGCCUCACCCUUCCCUCUCCUCACUCCCCCACCCUACAUCUGGGCAAACUGAUAAGAAACCUCCAGUUUCUUCCUCAAACCAUGGGGCAGGCAGCCAGCUCUCACCAGGCCUGCAGCCCCAACCACAAACUAGAUCCUUCCUUGCUCUCUCCGGCCAUUUCAUACCCUCCUGGCAGGCCUGUCUGUCCCAUCAUGGAGCUCAAUCAUUCAUGAAGGACCCUCGGGACUGGACCUCAGGUCAAACAACUCCUUACAAAAAGAGCUACUGUCCCAGACCGCGCAGAAGCUUCAUGUGACCUCUCGGCUGUGCGAGGAUGAGUGGCCGACACCGGAGCCCAGGCUGCUGCUUCCCAGUCUGGUGGUGAAUCCUCCAUAGUCUGGCGAGUGGCUAACUGAAAUGCUCAACACUCCAGUGAAGAAGAAACCACAAAUGACGAGCAAUAUCCUGUCACUCUUUCAGAUUCAGAAAUUUUGUUUGAAAAAAUGCAGAAGCUAAUUCAAGAAACCUCUGAAAGAACUUUAGAGAGUUUCGAUUGGUUGCCUUUCUUCCUGACACUAUGAUGUUUUGGGAUAGGAACUAAUAGACGAUAUUGUUUCUUUACCACUGGUAGUAUAGCAUUUACAACAGAUGUUGCUGACUUGAGGUAAGAUGUAACUAGCAGCCAGAGUUACCCACCAGCACCUGAGGAAAGGGCUCGACCUUGAGAACAUCUGGUUGGCUUCAAAAAUAUACAAAUACAAGAUGAUGCUGCGGAUUAGACAACUGAUUUUGGGAGAGGAAAACCUUUUAAUGUAUUUGGAAGAUCAAGGUCAAGAUAAUGGUAGAUAAAAAGAAAAAAAUAAGAUAAAAUAAAUAAAUAAAAUAUUUGGAAGAGUCCUGAGGACUAAUAAAAUAAAGACACUGGAAUACUUCGUGGACACCAGGGAGCAAUUAAACAUUGAAAUGAAAGCAACAUGCUGCACCUGCAGGUUGGAAAAAGUCCACAUGUUAUGAGGAAGAAGAAACGCACAAUUCAUUGGAAUAAAUAUUGAACCUUUAAAAAACAUAAGGGACAUGAAUACUAAAGGACACUGGACCACAGCAAAUAAGGUGGUGGCAGUUAUUACAUGAUCAUUACAUGACCUUCACGUUGGUAAAAUGUAUGUGCCACCUGAAUUUAUUCUUAGACCUUCUCUCAAAGAUGUCUGCAUUCAACACAGGCAGU